ACGCUCGACACCUACGGGGAGGCAGCAGUGGGAAUAUUGCACAAUGGGGGAAACCCUGAUGCAGCGACGCCGCGUGGAGGAAGAAGGUCUUCGGAUUGUAAACUCCUGUUGUUGGGGAAAAAGAGGAUGGUACCCAACAAGGAAGUGACGGCUAACUACGUGCCGGCAGCCGCGGUAAUCUGAGCGGGCUGGCAAGGC
rnacentral:rRNA from 1 species